rnacentral:lncRNA from 1 species
CUCUCUUUUUUUAUGUUUGAUGUAGACCUCAGCACAUACCUAGACGAAGUACUGUAGAGGACAACAACUUGUCAAUGGCAUGAAUCACAAGAAAGAAGUAAGAAGGUUUUCCAGUAUAUCUAUUAUUUAUUAGAGUCUAGAGUCUAUACAAAUCAAAAUCAAAAUCAAAAUGAACUCAUUGAAAAGUACGAAAUGUAUACGUAUAUAGGACCAUUCUACUGCUAAUCUCAAAACCCUAGGGAAAUGUGCGUGAAGCAAUUUUCAAGGGACCAUGACAACUACAAAAAUAGAGGUCUAGUUUGUUG